UUUCGAUAACAACUACCCUAUUUAUAUACAAAUAACAUAACUGUUACUAACUACCAAAUCCUAAAACUGUGACACAUGGCUUUCUUCCUUUCGCCAGAUGCUCCCACGCGUCUUCUGCCAAACGUCACAACUCUUUUGAAUUUGAAAUUUACACUUUACGUCGAAAUGACGUCUUUCUCCAGGCUUUGUCGAAUUGUUGAAAUACUACAACAUCCUCCAUGUCUGUCAAAGGUGCCUUUCCAUCUGCAGAUAUCUUGUCGAAAUGUCGAAGCUUCAAUUUUGUCGAAGUGUCGAACAACACUUAUCAACCAAACCGUUUAUCCCAUGUCAUCAUUUGUCGAAAGAACCAUUCUGCAUACCAAAUCUCAUGGCGUCGAAAACGCAUGUAUACAAAUUGCCCCCCAGCA
rnacentral:lncRNA from 1 species